rnacentral:rRNA from 1 species
CCUACGUGCGGCAGCAGUUGGGAAUAUUGCACAAUGGGGGAAAUCCUGAUGCAGCGACGCCGCGUGAGUGAAGAAGUAAUUCGUUAUGUAAAGCUCUAUCAGCAGGGAAGAAAAUGACGGUACCUGAGUAAGAAGCCCCGGCUAACUACGUGCCAGCAGCCGCGGUAAUACGUAGGGGGCAAGCGUUAUCCGGAUUUACUGGGUGUAAAGGGAGCGUAGACGGCAGUGCAAGUCUGGAGUGAAAGGCGGGGGCGCAACCCCCGGACUGCUCUGGAAACUGUACGGCUGGAGUGCAGGAGAGGUAAGUGGAAUGCCUAGUGUAGCGGUGAAAUGCGUAGAUAUUAGGAGGAACACCAGUGGCGAAGGCGGCUUACUGGACUGUAACUGACGUUGAGGCUCGAAAGCGUGGGGAGCAAACAGGAUUAGAUACCCGGGUAGUC